CCAACAAUCUCUGUGGGAUUCGACCCUUACUCACGUAAGGUAUUACUUGGACGACCCAGUGCACUUGCUGGUCAGUGGCACGCGUUGUGAAAAGUGUGAUUCGUGAUUUGUGCUACCAAAUUUUUUGCAGGGAGGUCAGAAUCCAACAGCAUCUGCAGUCCUUUUUCAGCCUCUGAAU